AGCGAACGCUGGCGGCAGGCCUAACACAUGCAAGUCGAACGAACCCUUCGGGGUUAGUGGCGGACGGGUGAGUAACACGUGGGAACGUGCCUUUAGGUUCGGAAUAACUCAGGGAAACUUGUGCUAAUACCGAACGUGCCCUUCGGGGGUAAGAUUUAUCGCCUUUAGAGCGGCCCGCGUCUGAUUAGCUAGUUGGUGAGGUAAUGGCUCACCAAGGCUACGAUCAGUAGCUGGUCUGAGAGGAUGACCAGCCACAUUGGGACUGAGACACGGCCCAAACUCCUACGGGAGGCAGCAGUGGGGAAUCUUGCGCAAUGGGCGAACGCCUGACGCAGCCAUGCCGCGUGGAUGAUGAAGGUCUUAGGAUUGUAAAAUCCUUUCACCGGUGAAGAUAAUGACUGUAGCCGGAGAAGAAGCCCCGGCUAACUACGUGCCAGCAGCCGCAGUAAAAC
rnacentral:rRNA from 1 species